rnacentral:rRNA from 1 species
CGUAGUUGGAUUUCGGCGAUGCGUACGGUGGUCCGCCGCAAGGCGAGCACUGCCGUGGUGUCGCUUUUUUUCUCGGCGCCGCCGUGUGCCCUUGAUUGGGUGUGCGGAUUCUGGAGCCGGGACCUUUACUUUGAAAAAAUUAGAGUGUUCAAAGCAGGCGUUUCGCUUGAAUAGAUUAGCAUGGAAUAAUGGAAUAGGACUUUGGUCUUAUUUUGUUGGUUUCUAGGACCGAAGUAAUGA